rnacentral:rRNA from 1 species
AGUGAACGCUGGCGGCGUGCUUAACACAUGCAAGUCGAACGAGAACGGAUCUAGCUUGCUAGAUUGUCAGCUAAGUGGCGCACGGGUGAGUAAUAUAUAGAUAACAUGCCUUAGAGAAGGGGAUAACAGUUGGAAACGACUGCUAACACCCUAUAUGCCUUUAAUACAUAAGUAUGCAAGGGAAAUAUUUAUAGCUCUAAGAUUGGUCUGUACAGUAUCAGUUAGUUGGUGAGGUAAUGGCUCACCAAGACAAUGACGCUUAACUGGUUUGAGAGGAUGAUCAGUCACACUGGAACUGAGACACGGUCCAG